GCAAAUUUUUCACAAUCAUUUUCUCGUUAUCGCGUGGACGAAGUAAACUUCUUAUUGUUUUUUUACAGAACAAAUCACAGAGCCUUUUGCUGUGAGCUGCAUCACCUUUUUUCUGAACAUCCUAGAACGAAGCAAUGAACGGCGACCCAGAGGCAAAUUGAAAACUGCAUGAUGCACAGCAAAAUCUGUAACAUAAAUAGAGGACUAAUCUGCACAAUCCAUCCAUGCCAUACAAGCGCGCUGCGCCCUCCGCACUGCGUGCACACUCGCUCUCAACUACAUGGCCGAGGUUUGCGGACUCCACCGCUGUGGUAGAUGGACAGCAGGCAAGGCAGCCAGGGGACGCGGGGUGUGAGGUCGGCCCUGACUUGCGAGAUGCCGCCGUCAGCCUAUCCGUGGCGUGCCGCCCCGGCCUGCUUGUCGAGGGAAGCUGGGAAGGAAUGUACUAUAUAAAGCUGCAUAUUGCUCGACGGAGACCCACUGGAGAGAUUGUGAACCCAAGGGCGGAGCCAUUCCUUUCUGCGGUUCUCUCCUGCCAAAAAAAUCAAAUGUGAACGCACAUAAACAUUGAACCGAAUUGGAUACAAAAAACAAUAACAAAAUCAAAUCGAAGAACUGCAUGACGGAGACUCAUUUUUGUGAGAUUUGUGGCAGUUGGGGGGUGUUGCACAAGGAGGAAUUGGAGAUGGGAAAGAGAGAGAGCUCCCUCUGAACGGCAUAUGUGCAUCCACAAACAAAAAAAACGAAAAAAGAACUGCGCGUGUGCUACAAAUCAAAUCACACUGGAGCUCUUAGGCUCGGGCCAGGGCGCCGCAGCUUCAGCCUCCUCCUUGUGGUUGGGAGCCGCCGUCCGUUGGUGCUACCAUAAAGAGAUGCAUGCGCCAUAGGGAGGGAAGAACGGGGGAAUGUUCUGGUUUUGGUCGGAUCCAUCUGUAGCGGGUCGCACAGGACCAUGGCUGGUCGGAUCCGUCGAUUGGUGGGGCAGGCUCGCGAGCAGUGUAUUUUGCGCGAAUCCGGCAACCGCCGAGGCAGGGCGUUGGGGUGUGGCGACGGUUUGUUGGGGGAGACAGGGGAGGAAGGAAGAAGAAGGUGGGGCAUCGGGGCAGAGCAUGGGGGCGGCUGGCAGGGAGCUGUGUGGCAUCGACGGGGAGAGAUGGGGAGUCAGCGUUGGUUGGAGGGGAAGGUGGUGGCAUGGUGUGGUGUCGCGGUGGUCGGGAGGCCGUCCCGUGGUCGCCGGCCAGAUCCCGGAAGGAGGUGGGAGGGUGGAGCGCCGCGGUGGUCGGGGUCACCGGCCAGAUCCUGAAGGUGGUGGCCGGGGUGGGCGGCGCAGGGUGGUCGGUGGCCGGGGAGGGUGGUGCGGGGUGGUGGCCGGCGGCGGGCGGCGUGGGAUGGUUGGUGGCCAGGUUGGGCGGCGGUGCGUGUGGGAUGGGUCGGGAGGUGGGGGGAGCCCAGUUGACCAGGGGAGCGUAGCGAGGUGGGGGUGUU
rnacentral:rRNA from 1 species